rnacentral:lncRNA from 1 species
AAUCCACUAACUCUCAUUAAAUAAACCCCAUCCAUCAUUCAAUCCCAAGUAAACCAGCAAGAAAUCCGCAACUAUCUAUGGAAACCUUGUAUCUCUACCUUCCACUUUUCCUAGCAUUAUACAUCUUCACCAAGCACUUCCUCAACAAAAUCCGAAACCUUCCACCUAGUCCCAUCCUUAAUCUCCCCGUCCUCGGCCACCUCCUCCUCAUCAAGAAGCCUCUUCACCGAGGCCUAGCCAAGAUUUCCGACCGUCAUGGCCCGGUCCUCCUCCUGGAAUUCGGCUCACGCCCAGUCCUCCUUGUCUCCUCCGCUUCUGCAGCCGAAGAAUGCCUCAACAAGCACGACAUCGUUUUCGCCAACCGCCCGCGUCUGCUGGCUGGAAAACAUCUGGGAUACAAUUAUACCUCAAUGGCAUGGACGUCCUACGGGGAUCACUGGAGAAAUCUACGGCGGAUAGCUUCACUGGAGAUCUUGUCUUCCCACAGGCUUCAAACGCUUCACGGGAUACGUGUUGAUGAAGUAAAAUUGAUGCUGAAAAGGCUGUUUUCAGCUUCAGAAAACAAGAAAAGCGUGGAUAUGAGGGCCCUUUUCUUUGAGCUGAUGUUGAACGUGAUGAUGAGGAUGAUUGCUGGGAAGAGGUAUUAUGGGGAGAAUGUUGGGGAAGUUGAGGAGGCUAGGAGGUUUAGGGAGAUUGUAGAGGAGACGAUGAUAAUUGGUGGAGCUUCGAAUAUGGGAGAUUUCUGGCCGGUUUUGAGGUGGUUAAAAGUGGGAAAGAAGGAGAAGGCCUUGAGGGUUUUGCAGGAGAAUAGGGAUCAAUUCGUGCAGGAGUUGAUCAAGGGGUUUAGGAGUGCAAAAGAUGCAGAAAAUGGUGGCGGCGAUGCAGAGGAAACAGGGGAAAAGAAGAAAACGUUGAUUGAAGUUUUGUUGACCCUGCAACAGAAGGAGCCUGAGUAUUACAAGGAUGAAAUCAUUAGAAGCCUUAUGCUGGUAUGGUUACUCUGAUAAAUUUCUUUCUGGCUCUUCUUCUUCUUAUUAAUGUAGCUAAUUUGUUAUCAUUUCUAUGUUCCCUAGAAAAUGUCAAACUUCGAUUAAGGACAAAUUAAUAGAAAUUGAAAGUAAUUCGAAGAUUAAGUGACUAAAUCUAGAUGGCCAAAAUUUGCUUUCUUUGAGUAUAAAAUAUAAGCUUACUUCAGUUGUCGUACAGUAAUUCGAUUGCUUCCAUUAUUGUGCAAAGUUAUGAUGAAUAAGAAAAAUUCACUGGUACAGUUCAAGAAUAGAGUUGACCGCACGGUGUGAACAGGAGUAGAUCCCAACGUAUUGGGCGGGGGGCCCACUUUUCUUCGGUGUUGGCAUUUGACAGUGAAGCAGAAAGAAAGUAUGAUGUCUAGCCAACCGAUGUCUAAAGUUGGUUGACUAGAUUUUAGAAGCAAAUGUCACUGAUCAUGCUCUUCAUUCUACCGUUUACCACUUUCUUCUUCUUUUCUCAAGUGCAUUUCACCAUUGACCGCUUUCGUAUUGCAGGUUUUACUAGCAGCAGGUACCGAUACAUCAGUGGGAACAAUGGAGUGGGCAUUGUCACUAAUGCUAAACAAUCCAUCAACUUUGGAGAAGGCAAAAGCAGAAAUUGACAGAAUCAUAGGAAAAGAACGUUUAUUAGAUGAAUCAGAUGUGGCUAAUCUACCCUAUCUCCGGUGCAUAAUUAGUGAAACAUUGAGGAUGUUUCCAGCAGGGCCUAUAAUGCUACCCCACGAAUCCUCCGAGGAAUGUGUGGUUGGGGGUUACCGUGUGCCUGGGGGGACAAUGUUGAUUGUCAAUUUGUGGGCUAUCCAAAAUGAUUCCAAGAAUUGGGAGGAUCCAAGAAAAUUCAAGCCUGAAAGAUUUGAAGGGCUUGAAGGGACCAGAGAUGGCUACAAAUUAAUGCCAUUUGGUUCUGGUAGAAGAGGUUGUCCUGGGGAGGGAUUGGCCAUGCGCAUGGUUGGAUUUGCUUUGGGAUCAAUUAUUCAGUGCUUUGAUUGGAGCAGAAUCAGUGAGGAGAUGGUAGAUUUGGCUGAGGGGCCUGGACUGACUCUGCCUAAGGCUCAACACUUAGUCGCCAAUUGUCGAGCACGACCUGGAAUCAUGAGCCUUCUUUCUCAAAUUUAGACUGCGACGAGGAUGUAUCUUGACUCUUGAGAAAGGGUGGGCAGUAUUUGCCUCGUCUCUUCUUCUUGUUUGAAGAAAAAAUAUGUACUAGUAAAAAAAAAAAAGUCUUGUUUUAUAUAUUUCACUUGUUUCUUUAAGGGAAAAAAUGACGGAGUAAUUUACUUUAUAGUAGUUGCUAUUUGAUGACGCUAAUUUUUGAAUUUCCUUGUUUUAAGUUGGAAUUUUCACAGCACAAUAAUUAUACCUUGCAACUCCUAACUGAAAACAACUCAAACCAUAUAUUUAUUCAUUCUCCUAAUGUCCACACUAAGCAAUAUCUUAGUUGGCAACUUCUUGAUCCGAAAGUUUUCUUUAGUGUUGAUAAUCAAUGAGAGAUAAAAAAAAAUGAGUAUCUAAAAAUAUAAAGGUCUAUCUAUUUGGACAACCGUUCUUAAGACAUAUUUCAGAUAAAAAAAUACAAGAUUAAUUAGAAUAAAUAAAUAUAAAGAGGGGCAGGAAAGAUUAAAUAGACAAACAUAUAUAAGUACAAGGAAGGAUAAUAAUUGUAGUAAAUGUGUGUGUAUAUAUAUAUAUAUAAUAAAUUAGAUAAAUUUUAAAUGUAUUAACGAGUGUCUAGUAAACACCCGAAAAAAUCCAAAAUAUGACGAUUUUUUUCCGUAAGAAAACUCGAAUAUGAGACGUCUCAGUUGCACUUCGUCCCUAGAAACGCCCAACCAAUAUCCCUUCCCUUCUAAAGGCCGCUGCCGCUAGUGCUGAUGACCAGGGCAUGGUCGAUAUGAAAUCAGCCUUCUUCGAACUCACACUGAACAUUAUGAUUAGGAUGAUUGCUGGAAAACGGUAUUCUGGUGAUGGCUCAGGAAAAAUAGGGGGAGUCGCGAGCUUUCAAGAGAUGGUUAAAGAGAGUGUUAAAGUCAGCGGAUCAACAAAUGCUGCAGAUUUUGUUCCGCUACUGAGGUGGAUAGGGCAAAAUAAGCUUGAAAGUCAUCUGAAAACGUUGCAGAUGAAGAGGGAAAAGUUCCUACAAGAUUUGAUUGAAAAGCACGGAAGCAUCACCAGUCAUCGUGAGAACAAGACACUGAUUGAUGUUCUCUUAUCUCACCCAGAGACAGAACCAGAGUACCAUACGGAUCAAAUCAUCAGAGGCUUGGUUCAGGUGAGUCAAGUUUUAAGGAGAAUAGUAGAUCGGUCCCUCGAAAGUGCCAACAUUCCAUAAAAUCAAGUAUAUUAACAACCUAAGAGAAUCCACCUCAAGCGCUAGCUAGCUGUCAUACUUGAAGGGUAGGAUCAUAAGUUCAUAGCAUUAACUUCCCUGCUUUUUCAGCUUUUAACAAUCAGUCAAGAUAACUCAAAAGCAUGUAUCAUGUGUUAUCCGGUAUUGAUAGAGAUAAUAAAUCAAAUUUCGUCUAAUCUUAAUAGCUGAUAAUGUUAUCGGCGGGAAGUGACGCAACAUCUGGAACUAUGGAAUGGGCACUGUCAGUUCUGCGGAACAACCCAGAGGCUUUAAAGAAAGCACAAGAAGAAAUAGACUUUCAAAUAGGCCAAUCAAGGCUGAUAACUGACUCCGACCUUGGCCAGCUUCCUUACCUUCAAGCAAUAAUAAACGAAACCUUUCGUAUGUAUCCUGUGUCCCCUUUUAUCUCCCUGCAUGAAUCAUCCGAAGAAUGUACAGUUGAAGGCUUUGGUAUCCCUCGUGGGACAUUGCUCCUAGUGAACCUUUGGGCUAUUAAUUAUGAUCCUGAAAUAUGGGAAGAACCCACAAAAUUCAAACCUGAAAGGUUCAUGAACUUGGAAGAUCAGAGAUAGAGAUUCGAGUUUAUGCCAUUCGGGCUUGGCCGAAGAGGAUGUCCUGGAGAAAAUUUUGCUCGACGAGUUGUGGGGUUGGCAUUGGGUUCACUUAUUCAAUGCUUUGAGUGGGAAAGACCUGGGGAAGAAUUGGUGGACAUGAGUGAAGGAGCUGGGCAUACUAUGCCUAGAGCUCAACCGCUGCUGGCAAAGUAUAGGCCACCCCCUGAAAUGGUUAAGCUUCUUUGAGUUGUGAUCUGAGUGUUUGACAAUGUUUUCUUCCUACAACACCUAGACGACUGUGGAGAAACAAGUGAACAAGAAAACAGAGGAUGUCUCUCUGUACGUGUUUGUUUUAACUUUUAAUACUACUAUUUUAUCUCUUUCAACUUCGCUUUGUGUUGCUGCAAGAAAGUAUAAAAAAGCAAAGGGUUUACUCUAGUUUCUUGCUUUCUCCAAAGAUCCAGCAUUUUCAUGUGUGUUUCUAUUAUUUGUUAACCAAUGGUUCAGAAUUCAAUCGACGGAGAAGCAAAAUUUUGCCAAGCAUGAGAAAUUCCCAAAAUUCUGAUCAAAUUUAAAUUAUUUGUAAGAUGCUUUUGGUUGCAUGUUGUACUUUAGAGGGUCCUCACGUUCUGUAAUUUAGAGCUUUCUUGCAUUCUAUAACUGCGAGGUAAGGUAAGCAAAAUUUAAAUUGCCCCCAGGGCAUAUGGCGUAGCGGUUGAGGGGUCGGUCUUGAGUUGUUGACUUCUUCACUGAUUGGGGUUCGAUUUGUACCCGCUACGCUGCACAUCCUGACUCACCCGGGAAAACUGUAUGGAGCUAUCGGCUUCCCUCCAAUUUGGUAUGCCGGCUCGGGUCCAAAGGGUUCGGAUCGGGGCAUGUUCCGAAUUACCAAAAAAAAACUUAAAUUUUGAUCAAGUUUAUCUGCUUUGGAAAAACCCCAUUCAACAGGAGGUUGCCCACUGCAAAAAAGCACCCCUAUUGUACAAUUUUUCAAACAUCAUCAAAAUCUUGUUUUUGAGGUUUCAAAGCCGCUAAAUUGAACAUUAGCUCUGAAUCGGAUAAUUAUGUUCAAUGGUGAUGUUUUGCUGAUAAUUACUCUUUAGUUAGUCCAGUGCGCAUGUACGCAUAGUCCAUUCGAUGCCCGUGGGAAACAGGUGUUACAAGGUCCAUGCAUUUUUCAACCAAAGAUAAGUCAAAGAGCGAAUUGCGCGAAAUGUCACUAAACUAUUUCAAAGUGCCGGUUCUGAUCAUUAAACUUUUUUAUUAGCGCGAAAUGUCACUGAACUAGUAAAUCUAUACCGUUUUGGUCACUCCGUGUAUUUGUGCCGUUAGGAGAGACGGAAAUUAACUUUUUGAGGGGUAAUUUCGUCUACACAAUAGUUAAAAAAUUUAUGCCUUCAUUCUUCUUCACCCACAACCAUAGUGCUAUACCAUAUUUACAUUCCCAGCCUUCCCGUACGCAUCAAUCAUCACAGAAUAGGUAACCUCAUCCGGUUCACACCCAAAAGACGGCAUUUUUUCGAACCACUGGACGGCUUUCUCAGGUAAAGAAGACAGCCUGGCGCAGCUAAUUAUGGUGGAAAGGAGGAGUAUUGGACCAGCAAUCAAAGAAUCAAGAGAUGAAUUCGCUGAAGAAGGGUUCUUUUCGUCCUCUGGGGCUGCUGCUUGGCCUUGUACCUGUCCCAUAUCUCAUCGAGAUUGGAUGCUACGGAGAUGAAGUAAGAGGAAAAGGCAACAGCAGCAACCAAAAAAUUGGGAUGGACGAGAAUUUUGAAGUUGGAGUUGGGGUUGGGUGCUAUCUGCAACCCAUGUAAAGUUGUGGAGUGAUUUGCGAUUAAUCUGUUAAAUGUUAUUGUGCCAACUGCCAACAGAAUUGGAAUGGACAUCAAAGUCCAGUGUAGGCCGACGACGGACGGAGCUCUCUAUGCCCACCCACUUCUGCAACAAAACCACCGAACUUUACAUUUAAUUUCUCAUUCUUUUCACUCUUUCCGCAUCGUCAUUUUCGCCACUCCCAACCCCAGAGGUAUGUAAAGGUGACAUUAUCGGGCUUAACUCCUCUCUCAAUCAUAUCCGUAAACAAUUUCUCGGCUCUGUCCAAGUCUCUACAUUUUCUAAACACCUUGAAGGUAACAUUAUACAAAAUCACUUCUUUCUUCAACUUAAGCCUUUCCAGAAAGUAACUCAGCACCAAAGGCGCAGUUUCAGAGUUGGACAUGUUAUUGAGCACAACGGCAGCAUCUUGCUCUACAACUUUGCCACCCAAAUUAGCCAAAAUACUAAUAACGUCAGCUUCUACAGGGUCACACGAGUCCAAUUGUUGGGAAGCUUGGACUAAAGAAGCAUACCUGAAAUCGUAGGAAUUGCGCCUGAGCUUUGAUGCCCUGGAGCUGUUGGGGUUGACCCAGAUAUAGCUUUUUGAGGAAGAAGAGAUGGUUUUAGCAUCUGGGCGGUGAGGAAUUUGGGAAAUUGAGGGGGAUUGUUGUUGGGAAGCCGGUAUAGAGAGGGAAGGUUUUGGAUGGGGCUUGAGAGGAGGAAAAGCGAGGGCGUUAUGGGGGAUGAUUCUGAGUUGGUGGAGGUGAGUGGGAUAAAGAGAGUUACAGAAGAGGUGUGGGUGGCGAGAGAGAUGAGACGGCGAAUAGGCGGCGGCCACCAUUCUUCUCUCUACUCUUCUUCCUUCCUUCUCAGUCGUCACUCACUCAGCAGAGCAGUCAGCAGCAUUUGAAUUUUCUUCUUUUUUACAACUAUGAAAAAUUUCGCCUGCAUUUUUUGGUUGAAGUUUGAUGGUGCCGCCAUUCAGAUCAGCCAUCUCCUUUAUGUCUUUGCCGGAUACGGAACCAUUGAUUAUGUAAAAGCUUCAAGAAAAAGGCUGUGCUGACAAAUUUGCCCCUCAAAAAGUUGAUUUCCGUCUCUCCUAACGGCACAAAUACACGGAGUGACUAAAACGGUAUAGAUUUACUAGUUCAGUGACAUUUCGCGCUAAUAAAAAAGUUUAGUGACCAGAACCGGCACUUUGAAAUAGCUUAGUGACAUUUCGCGCAAUUCGCUCUAAGUCAAAAAAAUAUUUGUCUGCGGAGCGGAACUCCAUUUUCAUAUAAAAAAAAAUGCUGAAAGUCGCCAUAUCUGUUUCAGUACUACCACUCUACCAGUUCCAUCUGACAGCUCACGACCGCAAGGGGGGGAAAAAAGACAAAUAAAAACAAGGAUCUAUGUCAAUCGCAUGUUAUAUGAAAUCUUAACACAAGAUUUAAGAUUGCAAGAUAUCAGCUGAUACAAGGUGGCCUAAGCUGAAGGCGUCUUGCUCCCUAGAAGCUAUAUCACUGAAACAGCAGGGAAUUGUUUAGAAUAUUACAUUGGAUAAGCAUUUUUUUUUUUUUUUGGUAAAUAAAGAUGCAUUAAAAAUAAAUCAAGUCAACAGAGUGCAAAUUAAGGUACAGUCAUCCGUGGGGUGGAAACCCCCUUUAAGUCUUGCAAAAGUAAGGGAAGUACAAAAUUAGGACAUAAUUCAAAAAAAGUGAAGUCUUGAGUGUUGCUUCUUCCCCAGUUGGCAAGGAUGUCUGCACAUUUGUUUGCUUCUCUAUAAUUAUGGUGAAAACAUACUUUCUGGAAUGUAGUCAAUAGCUCCCUGCAAUCAAGAAUAAUAGGUGCAAGUUCAUGAGAAAUAAGAUUAUUUGACUUACACAAGGAGAAUAUAAAGGCAGAGUCCAUCUCCACUUCGAGAGAGUGGAUGUUGAGUUUUUUUGCAAGUUGUAAGCCUUCUCUAAGAGCCCAACAUUCAGCAGAAGGAACUGAACAGAAGCCUAAAUUUCUUGCAAAGCCCGCAAUCCAUAUCCCAUUUGAGUCACGAAUAAUGCCGCCAGCUCCUGCCUGGUUUGUUGGUCCAGAGACUGAACCAUCAGUGUUGAGCUUGGCGAAACCUAUAGCAGGGGGGAUCCAUCUGAUGAAUUUUUCUUGUCUAGGGGAUCUGGAGAAGUGAGAACCAGGCCCUAGUAGGCUUCUGUUCCAGAUGCACGCCUCCGAGCAAGGAUGUAAAUGAAUCUAACCAAACUGAACACCCUAGUAUUCAAGUUUAUUUGAUUAUUUUAACAAGUUUGUAAUUUUAUUCAAAUUUAAUUUAUUUAUUUAUCGAACCAAGUUUGUUUGAUUAUUUUACCGAAUUUGAACGAGCUAUUUAUUGAAGAGUGUGUUUGGAUAGGAGAUUAUUUGAAAUAUUAUUUAGAAUAAUUACUGUAGCACUUUUUGUAAUGUAAUGUAUGUAAAAUAAAAAGAUGAUUGAGAAGAUAAAAAGAUGUGUUGGAAAUUGUAUUUGUGAUGUAAGCAAAUAAUUUCUAGCCAUUAUUUGGCUAUCCAAACACACUGAAUAUAAAACGAUAUUCAAUCUUAAUUUGACUAGUUAGCAAAUCAAACUCGAAUGAACUCAAACCAAACUGAACUCGAUUCAAAUAUCAAGUAGAUUGAUUUAUCUUUCAACAUUUCGGAGUUGUUAUCCAUGUGUUUGAGAAUGUCAUCCUCCUGUAUUGUGUUUUGGUUUUUCAAGUCCCGAACGAUGUUUUUUUGUUGCAGCAAAGGAGGAAAGUUUUAGAGAGCUUAGGAUAUUACAAUAAAAUAGCAGUCAGGAGUAGCGAAGGAGGAAACAUAUGAUUCAGCCGAAAGGGGAACGAAAAGAAGAAGAAGAAGAAGAAGAAGAAGAGGAGAAGUUAUGGUUUUAAUUUAUUUGAAGAAUUGCCAUAUAUAUAUAUAUAUAUAUAUAUAUGUAUUUUAGGUAAAAGAAGAUUAUAUACUAGUAGUAGUUUGGAAAAAUAAGGAAUGCGAUCAUAAUAAGUAAAUGCAAAAAAGUUUGCCGUAAACUCCUUUGAGUGUUUGUAGUUGUCAAAGCUCUUUGUCAGGCUGCCCCCAGUGGUUCGAAAAUGUGCUGAGGACCUCUUUUGAACUAAUUUGUUACAUGGAUGGAAACCAUACGCACACCAAAAGAUUAGAAAUUUUCAUGCUAUCCCUUGUUUCUACAUUUAAUAAUAAUAAUAAAAAAAAGUGGAUGAGGCGUUGAUCUACAAAGUUGAGGUUUUAGAAUUUGGAGAUCUUGAAUUCAAUACUUAUCAAAGUGUGAGUCUCUAAACUUUGUGUUAGUAUUUAUCCCACCAUAUGUAUGUAGAUUAGUUGUAGUUCGAAAUAUUUGUAAUCUCUUAUAUUAGUCCUAUAGUUGUAGAUUAUACACGAUAUUAUCGAAGAAAAUAUUUAAAGAAGAAAAAAAAUGCAAUCUUAGUGCCCGAUAUGUAAAAUUGGUAACCACGAAACAAAUCUUGAUGAAUCCACGAAAUUCACCAUGAUCCCAAUAUAUGGGAAGAACCCACGAAAUUUAAGCCUGAAACGUUUGGGGGAUUCGUGUUUAUGGCAUUUGGGUAUGGUCAAAGAGCAUGUCUUGGUGAAAAUUUAGCUAGACAAGUUGUGAGGUUGGCAUUGGGCUCACUCAUUCAAUGCCUUAAUUGGGAAAGAAUUGGUGGAAAUGAGCGAAGGAGCUGGGUUUACUAUGCCAAGAGUUCAACCGCUGCUGGCAAAGUACAGGCCGCGCCCAGAAAUGGCUUCUUUCUGAGUUGUGAUCCUGGUGUUUUGGGAAUGUUCUUUGCCACCUGCACCACUGGGGAAUCGACUGUACGAGGAAAACAGAGGAUUUCCCACUGUAGUGCGUGCGUACCACGUUGGCUUACCACUACUUUUUAUAUUUUACCUUCACUUGGUCCAUAAUUUUUGCAGCUCAAGGAUGUGAAAAAGUCCGUGCCGUCCUGAUUCCAUUGUAAUGUAAGCUGGUCAAAGCUACAAGCCGGUUAUAUACGACGCUACUCCAAGAAAGGAGAAAAAUAUAAGCAAAGCAAGGAGGCCGUAAAGGAUGGAUAUCAGUAGCAGAUCAUUGACAGAUAAGAUACUAAUAUUCAAGAAUGAGAGGGCCGUAUCCCUUACGUCAAAGGAGUUUUGAAUCUUGAUUACUGAUACAUUCUUGAAAUAACAAUAAUGAAUUACUAGAUAAAAUAGGCAUACGGCAUAAGUAUCAUUCCAACACUUUGGAUUUAACCUCGAUCUCUAUGGAUGCUUCAUACUGCUACCUCCUGCUUUUUCCCUUCCUGUAUUUACUUACCAAUCAAAUCAUCAAAAAGUUCCGGAAUCUCCCACCAAGUCCACCUCUUUCCUUACCCAUAAUUGGCCAUCUUCAUCUCAUCCAGAAACCACUCCACCGAGGACUAGCUAAGAUCUCCGAUAAAUAUGGUCCAAUACAGUUUCUUCAUUUUGGUUCUCGGCCUGUCCUGCUUGUAUCUUCACCCUCAGCUGCAGAAGAAUGCUUCACCAAGAAUGACAUAAUCUUCGCUAAUCGGCCAAGAUUUCUCGCCGGAAAACACCUUGGCUACAACUAUACAACUCUGGGAUGGGUCUCAUAUGGCCAACACUGGCGCAACUUGAGAAGAAUAGCUACUGUGGAGAUCUUAUCUGCUACCCGAAUUCAAGCUUACACGAGCAUCCGUGUUAACGAGGUCCAUUCAUUGAUCAAGUACCUUCUAAUGGCCUCUAAAGCUAGUGACUCUAGCACGGUUGAGAUGAAAUCGGCCUUCUUUGGGCUGACACUUAACAUCAUGAUGAGGAUGAUUGCAGGAAAGCGAUACUACGGCGAUGAUGCCCAGAACAAGGAGGAAGCCGCAAGGUUCAAAGAGAUAGUUAAAGAGACUUUUCAACUCAGUGGGGCGACAAACAUAGCAGAUUAUAUUCCAUUAUUGAAGUUUUUUGGGCAACAGAAGCUUGAAAGCAAGCUGAAGACUUUGCAGGCGAAGAGGGAUCAAUUCUUGCAAGAUUUGAUUGAAGAACACAGAAGAACCGUGAGGAGUUCCGACAGUGAGAAGGGCAACAAAACAAUGAUAGACGUUCUCUUGUCCCUCCAACAGACCGAGUCCGAAUACUACACAGAUGAGAUCGUCAAAGGUAUGAUUGUGGUAAGUAACUAUUUAAUCCUCUCGAUAUCUUAAUCCAUCCGUCUGUUAAGCAUACAGAAAUUCUGAUCUUUGUCUGGGAUCAGUCCCAUGAAGGAUUGAGUCUGAAAAUCUAAGUCAAAGCUAGUUUGAUUGCACUAGUACCAUCUCCGUGUUGCCUUGCAUUUUUUAUUGAGCUGUAAUGCUAUGUUUCCUACACGUAACAAUUCUAGGGAUAAUUUCAGAAACCUCCCCUGAGAUUUCUAACAGUUUCACUGCCCUUCUCCGAGGUUUCUAAAAUAUCAGAAACCUCCCCUACUAGGUCAUUGGGGUCCAAUUGUCACAUCAAUCAUGGAAGAAUGACUUAAUUACCCAUACAACUUAAGAGGUAUUUCCCAAUUAUGUUCACAUGAUUAGUUAAACUGUUAUUAACUAGAUUUAACAGAAAUGAUGACAAUUUAUAAGUUUUUUUAAAAAAUUUCUAACAUGCCAUUACAAAAAGGGGGCCAUAUAUAGGCACCUUUCUAUGAUUGAUAAUUGAUGUAUGCGAGUAGAAGCAAUGAUUCAAACUUUAGUGUUUUUUGUGGAAUAAGAGAAAUAGAGCUUCUUUAGGUAUAUCUAAGGAUUUAGGAGAUUUGAAAAGGAGAUUUGCUCUUAAAUUUUUUUCAAAAUUUUGGUGAUUGUGAAAAUUUCAAGAUCAGCCUCUAAGAUUUUUCUGCUAUUAAAUUUUGGAAAUUUUUAUUAUUUGAUUGCAGUUGUUAAGGUAAUUCUUGAUGGUGAUGCUUAAUAGUGACCCUACAAGUGAAAAAGAAUAGUUUGGAUCAAACAAAAAAAGGAAAAUAUGAUUUUAUGUAGUUUGUAUUAUGUUCGGUAUGAUCUGCUCCAUUUGAUGAUUGGUAUUUAAUUAUAGUGUUUUUUCUUUUUUAUCCUAAUUAUUACUUUUAUUGUCAUCGAAAUUAGGUGCUGGUUUUGUAUGAAAUAUACGUAAAGAUUGUUGGUUGUAUGCUACUAAAUUGAAAAACCUUUUAAUUAUGACAAUUUUUUUCUUGUUUGUGAUUAUUCAACAAAUGUUUUUUUUUAAAUCGAAAUGUUGGUUGUAAUAGGAUUCACAUGCUUUGUUUCUCUUGUAGGAGAUUAUGCAAUUGAUGUGUUAUAAUAGAUGUAAUAGUAUGAUAUUACACAUGCAAUAUGUAGAUAAGAUUUUGAGUUGCUAAACUUGUUGUAGAGUUAGUAAAUUGAUAUUUUGUUUACGCUCUAUGAAUACGGUAACAAUUACACCGUCUCAAAUUUGAUAAAGUUAAAAUAGAUAUAUAUUGUUCGUAGGAAAUUAACUAUCUAAUGCAAAACUUGAGGGUAGUUAUGGAAUUUGACAGGUGCCGAACUUGUGCAAUAAUAAUUACUAAAAAGUCCUAAUUACCAUCACAAUUAAUUAUAGAACGAAUUCAAGUACUGGAGCAGGACCCUAGGUGAGCAAUGGGUUACUUGAUUCACCAUGUUCCCAAAGAGUUUGCUUGAUCCGAUAUACCAGAAUUGUCUAUAAAAAUACUAAGUUUGCAUACAAUGGCAAGUAGGGUCGAUUCCACAAGGAACGGGUAGGAAGUUGUUUCCUUCCAAGUCAAUAGAAUAAAAAAGAGGGACAAUUAAUGGGAUGAAACUAAAAAUAAAAUAAAUAAAAUUCAAGAGCUAACUCAACAACAAUUUAGUAAAAAUAGCAAUUAAUAAAAUUCUACCCAAAUGAUUAACUGCUCAGGCACGGUCCAAUUAAAUGAUCAUCGAUGCAAAGAUAUUUCAUUCAUCUGUCAUUAGGUUGGUUAUAGCUAUCAACAAGCUUUGACAACCAGUUCUUCCUUACUUUUUCGACAGUCAAGGUACGACCAUUGACUGUUUCUCUAACCAGAAAACAACUCUAGGUACGACCGUAAGAAUUUAAUUAUCCAAUUGGAUUAAAACUAGAAGAACCCAACCCUGAUCAAUAAGCACGCUAAGAGGGUUUAUUUAAAUCAGAUCUUACGUUUCUCCAACAUAAAGCCAAUUAUGGUGGUUGUUACUAGUUGUCAACUAAACGAAUAAUUACGGAUUCAAUUUAAUUAACGUGGCAGUAGGCUAUUAUGUUAAAUCAAAUACCCGACCGUUGAUAUCCAAUUAAUAAAAUACUCAUGAACAAUUAAUUCAGGAAACGUACGAAUAGCAAUAAGUUGGAAGAAAUAAUGAAAAUUCGAUUAGAUGUUACAGAUAUUAUGAACCGUGCUUUCGCGUCGACCUUCGGGUAGAGGAGAAAUCUAGCCGCUCCUUAUCAUAUCCAUCUCGCGUGAUUUAAUUGAAACCAUUCAAUUAAUUCCCGAAAAAUUGGGAAAGAUGAAACAACGAGGAAAACGAAUAAAAGGGCUUAAGUAUCUCUUGGUCUCUGUGUUUGUACUGGAGCAAGAAAGUAAAAGUAAAGCACUAGAGAAAGUCGGCUGCCAAAAGACAAGAGCCAAGCCGCCCGUAAGAAAUUGUCUAAUAGGAAGAGACAAAAGCUACAACUAUGAAGGUCGCGUGAUUCUGGCUUCUUAAUUGCUGCCGAAGAGAAAAAAAGGAAAAGAAAACGUCUGACACUAAAAAGCAAAAGCUAAUCUAAUUACAAAGACGUAAAUCUGGCUUUUUUCCUCUCUUUUGUAGCGGCGCCAGGAGAAAUCCACGAAAGGUCAGGAGCAAAGCUUUUCUUUUUGGGGUUUUAAUCCCAUGCCUCUCGUGGUUCACGUGGACCCAACCUCCUAAUUGCUCACUUUUUGCUGCCACCAAGCUCGCGGGUCCGGCUUUAGAUAUAUCUCCUCACUUUCUGGCGUGGCACGUCAUGAAACAAAGAGUCUUUUGGAAAUUUUUCUCGCGCGAUCACUUUUAACACCAAUCACCUACAAUUGAUACAAAUAUGAAAUAUGAGCAAAUUCUCAAUUCUUAGCAUCAUGAGUAGCCAAAAUUAGGACAGAAUAAUAGUGCAAAAUAUGCCCAAUAAUUGCUCUAUCAGAAUUAAAUUGUUUUCUCUCUUCUAAUACCAAUUUUAUAUUAUUUUUGUAUUUGAAUUGGGCUGAUUGUUACUAGCUAAUUAGCUUUAGGGGUGGUUUCCGAUAUUUUGAAAACCUCAGUGAGAUUGUCAAAAACCUCAGGGGAGGUUUCUGAAAUUAUCCCAUAAUUCUAUCUACGUCUAAUACUAUUUAUACUAAGAGGGUUGCUCACGAUAAAUGUUCUAACAUUAUCAUACACCUCCUCUUAUCCCUUCAUUUGUAUUUCUAUCUUAUUUACAGAAUCAAGAUAAUAGUAUAAAAAAUUCAAUCCCAUUGUACUAUUGAAUCAUGACGUGCAGGAAAAAAGGAAGAAGUAAAGAUAAAACGAAUGAGUAGCACAGUAUUCACCUUUAAUCCAUGCUUUAGACUAGCAGAAAAUAAUGCAAAUUUUGUCAACAGCAAAUGUUAUCAGCGGGAACCGACACAUCAUCCGGAACAAUGGAAUGGGCACUCUCCCUGCUGCUCAACAAUCCACAAGUUCUAAAGAAAGCCCAGCAAGAAAUUGACGCGUACGCUGGCCAAUCAAGGCUUAUCAAUGACUCGGACUUGGGUCAGCUGCCUUAUCUUCAUGCAAUUAUUAGUGAAACACUUCGCAUUUGCCCGGUGGCCCCUAUUCUGGUGCCUCAUGUGUCAUCCCAAGAGUGUUGUGUUGGAGGCUACAAUAUCCCCGGUGGCACGUUGCUGUUAGUGAACUUAUGGGCAAUGCAAAAUGAUCCCAAGGUUUGGGAAGAACCCACAAAAUUUAGGCCUGAGAGGUUUAUAAGUUUGGAAGGGCAAAGAGAUGGAUUUGUGUUCAUGCCAUUUGGGUUUGGCCGAAGGGGAUGUCCUGGCGAAAAUUUGGCCAUGAGCGUUGUGGGGUUGACAUUGGGGUUGCUUAUUCAAUGUUUUGAGUGGGAAAGAGUUGGGGAAGAGUUGGUGGAUAUGACUGAAGGGGCAGGGCUUACCAUGCCAAGGGCUAAAGAAUUGAUGGCCAAGUGUAAACCACGGCAAGAAAUGGUCAAACUUCUUUCUCAAUCGUGAUUGGGAUUUCAGAAGUUGGUACCUCUAAGAAAAAAACCCAUCGCAGUGAUGACAACAUUGUGAACAAAGUGUGCUUGUUUUGCCAUUAUUUUUGUGAUUCUAUACCUUCUUGUAUGUGGAAUAAAGGAUUUGAUUAAAAGUUUAAAAUACGGUUAGAGACACCUUAUUUUAAUUUAGUACGUUUUAUUGUAGGAAUAGAUGCAUAUGCAUACCUUUUUAUUUUGAUAGGUGAAAAUAAAACAACAAAAAAAAGACUUACAAAUAUGUUAGAUCUUCAAUGUUCAUGAAUAAAACUCUCUCUCUUUUUUUUUCACUUUUACUUCCUUUUGGAAAAGAAUUAAAACUCUUCUUUUUUUUUUUUACAGUUUUUUAUUUGUUCAUGAUGUGGGAGGUCUAUGUUCAUUUGAAAUCAAGAGCUCACCCCAACUUUUGUAGAAACUAGAGGGGAAGUUAGUGUAGUUUACCAACAAGAUACGUGUCUACUUACUUGAAUAACCAGUAAUAAGAUUUAAGGAAGAAAAACUUGGGCUACUCCAGUUAGCAAUGCCCAAGUAUCAAAAAAUGAAGAGCCCAAAUUCAUGUGAAAAUGUAUACAUGUUCUUGGUUAAUUUCACAAUAAACUUGUAAUCCUUUUUUUUGGCAAUUCAAAUUAAAUUCCAUUUUGCCUUUGGAUAUAACCAAGAGUUAUGUCCCUUUUAAUGAAUCUAGUAUAUUUUGGAGGGCUUUACUACUUCAAAUUUUUUUUUAAAAAUUUUAUCAGUAGUAAUCAUGAAAAAUAAAUCAUUUUCAACUAUGUAGUACUGAAAGAAACAUGCGACAGAAAAGAGUGGCAUCUCCAUAUAUUUUCUGAGCGUCAAAAUAAAAUUAUAAACUUUCUACCACUAACUCUUUUAUCUAAACCAUGCAAUUUUGCGUGCAUCAAAAUAGCGUAAUUAUUCAGUUUUCGUGUAAGGAAAUGAAAAUCUUAGGACUUGCUAGGAAAAACAUGGCGGUCUGGCUUCAGUGAAAUAUUUUUGCUAGAAAAUGUCGACUAACUUACCUACCUUUUAAUUCUUAUACUCUUUUCGUCCCAUUGAAAGUGUUAUACUUUUAUUUUAGAAUGUCUCAAAAUAUUUGUUCUGUUAAUAAAGUCAAAAUAUAUUUUAGUCUCUCUCUUCAACAUAGUUCAUCUCUCUAAUCAUAUACACGUUACCAUUCAAAUUCAAAUGUUGAAUUUGUAGGAAUAAAAUUGAAAAGAGAAGCACAAACAUCACAAUCAAACCACUAUUUUUAAAAAGUUUGAUUUUUGAAACAGAACCAAAUAAUUAGGACGGAAGGAGUAUAAACUAAAAUGAAAAAGGAAGUCUAGUGAUAAUUGAACCGUCAAAUAUCAUAAACCUUUUCAUAAAAUUGCUGGCUGAUCAGUAUAGCAAGUAGAUGAUGAUGCUUGUGUAGUUGCUAUCAUCCUUAGGUAUGAAAUUUUUCAUGAAGACCCCUUAGUAAUAAGUUUCUGAAUAGCUUCCCACAAAAGUUUCCGGGAGGUAAAUUAACAAUCUUUUGCAUUACUUUGGCCCCGGAGACAUGACAAUAAUAUCUUAGACGAAAGAACUUAGCCCCGACAAAUAUCAUGAACUUAUUGACAAUAGGUGGCUUAAUUUGUAAGAAAUAAAAAAUUAUUUAAAAAUAAGAAAAAAAAAUUAUUUAACGAAAUGCAAGUAACAUCUUGAACGAUUUUUCCUUAUUAACUCACAAAGUUAAGUUCCACUGUGGUACUUGCCAAUGGAACAAAGUUGACAGCAAAUCUUGUUGGUUGAAUGAGUCUCCUGACACAGCGUAUUAAGCAAUAAGCAUUCAUUGGUAUACCCAAACCUAUUACUCUGUAUAAGUGUACGUAUCAUAUUCACCCGUACCGUACGUCUCUUUCUACAUUUAGACACUCCCAUAUUUCUAUAUUAAUUUCACUUUUGCUAAAGGAUUACUGGGUAAAGUGUAAAGCACGGCAAGAAAUGGUUAAACUUCUUUCUCAAUUGUGAUUUGUGGGACUGUUUAACUGUCAAAAUUAAUGUGAAAACGUAUGAGAAAGUAGAAUCCUCGAAAUCCUUUAUUUUUUCAAAAUUUAGUUUUUUAAAUACUAAAAAUUUUUAAAAAUACUCUAAAAAGUAAUCUAAAUUUUUUUAAUGUUUAAAAAAUAUUCCAAAAUAUAUUUUAAAAACUCUACUACUCUUAAAUAUUUCAAAAUAUUUUCUAAAAAUAUUUCAAAAUAUACUCUAAAAACUCUGCUACAGUAAAGUUUUCAAAAAAUAUCUCAAAAAACAGCUAAUCCAAACGGAGUAAUUGAUAAACCCUAAGACAUUUAGAUGGUGAAGAAAAAGUAAAAUUAACACCACUCUUUUAACUGUUGGAAUACUUUCAAGGUACUAAAUUAUACCUUCUUAGUACCACUCGAAAGAAAGAAAAACAAGCCUUGGAAAGAAAUAGUAUCUAGAAUAAAUCUACUGCACAAUUUGGGAAUUAUUCAUCAUUCGAUCAAGUGAUGAAUAAAUCAUACGCAAGUUCAUGUAUUAGCAGAUUAAUUAUUGAAUCUAUUCAUAAAUCAGAGGAUUGCGACACAAGGAAACUUGCAGAAUUGGACAACUAUAUGGUCCCGAAGAAAAGAAAUUGACUUGCUUCAAGAUUUCCACAAACUUGGAGCGGGGGGCGAGUGGUGACGGACGACUAAGGAACUCAAGAAAGUUAAAAUAGCCAAUUACGCAAAGUUUUGGAUCCAUUAGUUGAUUGACUGACUUCUAUUGCUAGCCGGUCAAUGCCCCCUUUUAUAAAUCAACAAGAACUUUUCCAUGGAAAAUGUGUCUCUCAUUUUGGCCAAAAUUUCCGAAUCAAUACCUUCAGUCUCCGGUCAAAUGAAGUCGUAACUUGAUAAGCUUACAAGACUUUCGUUUUCCUUCUAGAAAAAAAAAAAGAAUAAAAUAAUUCCCUUGCCCUUCAACAACCUCAACAAUAAGGUUCACUAUGAGAGAAAUUUUUUUUCCAUCUAACACACUUACGUUACUCCUAAUUCAUUGCAUAAAUACGUACAAUCACAGUUAUUGAACUUAGUAUAUUUUAGUAAUUUUUUAAAUUAAUUAUCUUAUUUUUAAAAAAUUAAUACCUGAGACUCUUAUUAACGAGUGUCGACUGAAUACCUGAUAUCAAACCGAUCGAUGCUGUAGAUAGAGAAUGGUUGUUUGCAUGGAAACCAAAUCUUUUUUUUUUUUUUUUUAUUUGCUCCUUCCCCUCUUAUACAACCACCAUAUGUAGAAAGUUGAGUUCUUGGAAUCCUCCAGUGACACAGGUAUGCUGGUAAGCAAAGCACUUGAAUAUCUUCCAGAAGAAAGAUAUGUCGCGCAGCCUUAAUUGACGAAGUAAUCUCGUCAACUUUUUUUUUAAAAAUUUUGUACUGUAUAGAAAUUCCCCGGAGUUGGAGGGGCAGUUGCUUCUAAUCAAAAUAUGCUUCACACUUCACGCCACACGCACACGGUUAGGACCAGAAGUCUCAUAUGCCCUUUUCGGUGCAUUUCGUCUAAAUUCUUUUGUAGCGUGAGAAUUUAUUUAUUUAUUUAUUUUUUAAAAAUGGCUACCUAUUUUUAUUGCUUAAUUAACGAUGCUUUCGGUGCGUUUGAGUUUUCAAGAAAAUGAAUUUGAAGAGUAACAAACAUUAAGAUUAUUUGAAAUAUAUUAUUUUUUUUAAAAAUACUGUAUGAGAUAAAAAGUUGAUGCACUGACAGUAUAUACACUUUUAUCAUUAUUAGAUGCAUGACACAUAAUUUGAAUUUAAAUUUGAAACUCAAAUUUUGCAUAUGUGUCGUAUAUCCAACCGUAAUAGUGUAUACAUCGUUAGUAUACAUAAGAUUUACUCUUUGAAGUUUUAAUCUAUCCUUUGGUUUCCCAUUCUCGUGACAAAAGCACAGCUGCGCGAAUCAGUAAAAUUGGACGUAGUAAUUUGCUGUAAUGUGCAAAACCGAACUUACCUCCAUUUAGGGUUCUUGUCUAUAGAUUGACCAUGUGGUUCGGCAACACUUUUAGUGCAAAAAUUUUCAGCAUGCAACAGUCGUCCAUAGCUUAAGUGAGUUAGGCGCAGCACAUUGUUUGGCCCCGUUCCAUAUGACUUCAUUUCGUUGCCAACUUUUCUUGGAGGACUGGAAUCUCAUUAAAUAGAUCCAGCACGAUUGGUCCACGACAAUUAUUUGGUUCUGCUUUGCUGUCGUGAACUUGUGCAUUGAUUCUGUGCUUUAAUUUCUCUUGAUUUGUAGAAAAUUUGCUAGUUUUUAACUGCAAGAUUUUGUUACUCCGAAGAUUUUUAAUUUUUAUGCAGGAAAAAAAAACGCACUUCCAAACUCUGGGUACAAUAUUUGAAAAAAAAAAAGGGUAGAUGACAGGUAAGCUAAGUAGUGGUUUAGUGCCACUAUUGAAAUGUAAAAACCUCCAACCCUACACUUUUCCGACCCAUGCACCGCUCCCCGUGCCCGAACCCAAGAAGAUUUGUACAAGAAAACAGAAAAACUUUGGUGGGGUCUUGCUCGCACUAAUUUGUCACGAUUAAAUGUAUUCUUGUUUAAAAAAUUCAUGCAGAUGUGUAGUGCAUUCGUCUGAUCUGGUGGUGAUUUAAUCCUCUUCGAAUUAUUCUUGAACCUCUUCAGGUCCUAUUCCUCCUCCAUACUAUAGGAAGUUAUCGUAUCGAAAAAAAAAAAACAGAAAAAUCUCAACUCAUUAGCCUUAUUUAAUUUGAUUUGAAGCAUAAUUUUCUUGAAGAAGAGGGGCCGGGCCACACUGAUUGUAUUAGAGCAUCCACAAUGCUAUUACACUUUGUGGAGUGUAAUCCACAUGCCACGUCAGCAUUCCACUUUCUCCUCUUUUAUUACACUUUCACUCACAAUGGAUUACACUCCACAAGGUGUAAUAGCAUGGGUCCACAAUUAAUCAAAUAUUUAUUUUAAUAAUGCAUAACUCAUAUCCCAUAAAUAAAUAAAGUAAUUUUUAAAACUAAUUUUGUUAUUUUUAAAAAAUAAAGUACUAACUUUCGUUAAAUUUUGUACAUUUUGAAUUUUUUUAUUUUCUAAAAAUGAUAUUAUUAAUUUUUAAGUUUGAAUAAUAUAUCUUUUUCUAUGUUUCAAAAAUAAUAUAUUGUUAUUUUUUAAAAAAUAAUUAUGUAGGAAAUUAAACAAAUAUUUGAUACUUCAAAUGCGAAGAUAUCAUAAUAAUUCAUACUUAAUUAAUAAUUCGGAAUGUAAUUAGUUGAACUCCAUAACAUAAUAUUACAUAAGUUAAAUCAAAUAAAAUACAAAUAAUAACAAAAUGAAUACUAAUUUUCAUUGUCAUUGCCUUCGAAUCGUUCCCAAAUAUGCUCGACCAAGUCUGAUCGAAGUUGAUCGAAGUCUGAUCCCAAAUAUGCUUUGUGCUGGAAUUUUAUCGUUGUCAUAGGGCCCACAUUCAAUGGAUUACACGCAUCAUACAUGUGAUGCGUGUAAUCUCCAUGACACGGCUCCAGCGGUGUAAUGGCUCCCCGUUACUGAUUACACCCCCAUUGGAGCUGCCCUUAUGUAUAGUAUAGCUCGUAAUGGUUUUAAUCUACUCAUAACAAAUUCACUCUCCCAAACUCAAAAGUCAUCUUUGUAUAUAGAAUUUAGCCAACGAUUAUAAUUGCACAUUUUAAUAGGAAGUUUCAUAGGCUGGCUGUCAAUUGCAACCUUACAAGAAAACGAGAUGAAGACCACUCAGAGUCACAAGUCCAACAAUAAAUCCACUAACUCUCAUUAAUUAAACCCCAUCCAUCAUUCAAUCCCAAAUAAACCAGCAAGAAAUCCGCAACUAUCCAUGGAAGCCUUGUGUCUCUACCUUCCACUUUUCCUAGCAUUAUACAUCUUCACCAAGCACUUCCUCAACAAAAUCCGAAACCUUCCACCUAGUCCCAUCCUUAAUCUCCCCGUCCUCGGCCACCUCCUCCUCAUCAAGAAGCCUCUUCACCGAGGCCUAGCCAAGAUUUCCAACCGUCAUGGC